rnacentral:rRNA from 1 species
GCCCAGACUCCUACGGGAGGCAGCAGUGGGGAAUAUUGGGCAAUGGGCGCAAGCCUGACCCAGCAACGCCGCGUGAAGGAAGAAGGCUUUCGGGUUGUAAACUUCUUUUAAGAGGGAAGAGAAGAAGACGGUACCUCUUGAAUAAGCCACGGCUAACUACGUGCCAGCAGCCGCGGUAAUACGUAGGUGGCAAGCGUUGUCCGGAUUUACUGGGUGUAAAGGGCGUGCAGCCGGAGAGACAAGUCAGAUGUGAAAUCCACGGGCUCAACUCGUGAACUGCAUUUGAAACUGUUUUUCUUGAGUACCGGAGAGGUCAUCGGAAUUCCUUGUGUAGCGGUGAAAUGCGUAGAUAUAAGGAAGAACACCAGUGGCGAAGGCGGAUGACUGGACGGCAACUGACGGUGAGGCGCGAAAGCGUGGGGAGCAAACAGGAUUAGAUACCCGCGUA